AUUGAACGCUGGCGGCAUGCUUUACACAUGCAAGUCGGACGAGUGGCGGACGGGUGAGUAACGCCUCGGAACGUACCGAGUAAUGGGGGAUAACUGCUCGAAACGAUAGCUAAUACCGCAUACCAUCCGAUCUGCCCAUGUCGGAUUAGCUGGUUGGCGGGGUAAAGGCUCACCAAGGCGACGAUCCGUAGCGGGUCUGAGAGGAUGACCCGCCACACUGGAACUGAGACACGGCCCAGACUCCUACGGGAGGCAGCAGUGGGGAAUUUUGGACAAUGGGCGCAAGCCUGAUGCAGCCAUGCCGCGUGUAUGAAGAAGGCCUUCGGGUUGUAAAGGACUUUUGUCAGGGAAGCGGUACCUGAAGAAUAAGCACCGGCUAACUACGUGCCAGCAGCCGCGGUAAUAC
rnacentral:rRNA from 1 species